UAAAUUAUUUGUUUGCAUUUCUGUGAUAAAGCUGCUGUAAAGUUAUUAGUUUAGAACCAGCCACGAAGCUCCUACAGAGAAUGGCAACUUUGAUGAAAUUGUUUCUUCUGUUGUUAGUUAGCAUGAUGUUACUUUCUUCAACGACUGAAGCAUUUGCCUGUUGUUGCGGAUAUAGAUAUGCACCUUGUGGGACAAUUUGCCAAGACUUUCCCAAACAGUUAGGAAAUCCCUAUCCCCACCCUUGUGACUUGUUUAUCCCGCGUUAUAAAAAAUAAAAAUCACGUAAGAAUUAUGUUCAAUAAAAACUGU